rnacentral:misc_RNA from 1 species
GAAGGAUAAAGAAUCGUCCAGUCCACCAGCGUUCACCAAACCACCCUUCAAGCACACCAGCAUGGUGAAGUCCACUUGAAGAUGUUCCAGACAGCACAUCCCCAAUGAUAAUCAUGUACACAAUGAGUACACCAAUGUUGUUGAUUAAAACAGCAACUUGCAACAAUAUUCUCCCAUACUUUCCAAAGGCAUCACCCAUAAGUCCUCCAUAAGAAGCAUUCUUCCCUGCCCUGCUAAACCUAAGUAGCAACUCAAUUGAAGCCUCUGUCAAGAAGGCCAUAAAGAUGAUCAUAGCAACCCCAAGGCCAAGGCCUAAUACUUUCAUGGUAGCAGGCAGUGCCAUGAUUCCAGCACCAACUACGGUAGUUGAUAAAUUGAACACUGCUCCAGUAAAGGAAGCUCCAUCAAACUCAUC